AUUGAACGCUGGCGGCAGGCCUAACACAUGCAAGUCGAACGAGUGGCGGACGGGUGAGUAAUGUCUGGGAAACUGCCUGAUGGAGGGGGAUAACUACUGGAAACGGUAGCUAAUACCGCAUACCAUCGGAUGUGCCCAUAUGGGAUUAGCUAGUAGGUGGGGUAACGGCUCACCUAGGCGACGAUCCCUCGCUGGUCUGAGAGGAUGACCAGGAACACUGGAACUGAGACACGGUACAGACUAAUACGGGAGGCAGCAGUGGGGAAUAUUGCACAAUGGGCGAAAGCCUGAUGCAGCAAUGCCGAGUGUAGGAAGAAGGCCUUCGGGUUGUAAAGUACUUGAAGCGGGGAGGCGUUACCCGCAGAAGAAGCACCGGCUAACUCCGUGCCAGGAGCCGAGGUAAUAC
rnacentral:rRNA from 1 species